rnacentral:misc_RNA from 1 species
UCCUACACAACAUUCACCAGAG